GACGAACGCUGGCGGCGUGCUUAACACAUGCAAGUCGAGCGAUGAAGCACCUUCGGGUGUGAAUUAGCGGCGAACGGGUGAGGAACACGUGAGAAAUCUGCCUUCAACUCUGGGAUAACUCCGUGAAAACGGGGCUAAUACCGUAUAUGAAACCUGCGGGCAUCCGCGGGUUUGGAAAGUUUUUCGGUUGAAGAUGAUCUCGCGGCCUAUCAGCUUGUUGGUGAGGUAAUGGCUCACCAAGGCGACGACGGGUAGCCGGCCUGAGAGGGCUACCGGCCACACGGGGACUGAGACACGGCCCAGACUCCUACGGGAGGCAGCAGUGGGGAAUAUUGGGCAAUGGAGGAAACUCUGACCCAGCGACGCCGCGUGCAGGAUGAAGGCCUUCGGGUUGUAAACCGCUUUCAGCAGGGAAGAAGCGAAAGUGACGGUACCUGCAGAAGAAGCACCGGCUAACUAUGUGCCAGCAGCCGCGGUAA
rnacentral:rRNA from 1 species